rnacentral:rRNA from 1 species
UACGAGGGGGGCGAGCGUUGUUCGGAAUUACUGGGCGUAAAGCGCACGUAGGCGGCUUUGUAAGUUAGAGGUGAAAGCCCAGGGCUUAACCCUGGAAUUGCCUUUAAGACUGCAUCGCUAGAAUCGUGGAGAGGUGAGUGGAAUUCCGAGUGUAGAGGUGAAAUUCGUAGAUAUUCGGAAGAACACCAGUGGCGAAGGCGACUCGCUGGACACGUAUUGACGCUGAGGUGCGAAAGCGUGGGGAGCAAACAGG